rnacentral:lncRNA from 1 species
UGGAAUUUAUAUUUUUCAAGAAAAUAAUUCACCCUGUCAAGAUUUUACAACUAUUCUUCAGAAUUCAGAUGGACCAGACUACUUAACAACUCAACAGAUGAGGUAACAUCUUCAGGUUCCAGAGGUCGGGAGGUGGAUAUCUUUUGGAGGACUGCAGUAAGGGAUGUAUGUGGGAGAUAGUCUUCCCCUAUCUAGCAUCACGUAUCUGCUUUCUACAUCAGUUAAAAGAAAGAAUCCUGACUUAUGCAGUGGCCUCCUUCAGAAUUCAGGCACCUGCAUUAUCAGAGGCUUGGUCUGAAUCAGAUGAAAGGUGGCAACAUGGCAAAAUAAAAUGAGCAUGUAUAGCACGCCUUCCGGGCAGCAAGCAUGGAGCCAGGCGCUUCCUCAAGGACUGUCUCUCAAGUGCAAGGGUGGCGGCCUGGACUGAUGGGACGCGUGUGAUGCUGACUGUGGAAGCUGAGAACAACAUUGUAACCAUGCCCUGCGUGCUGGUGCUCAACCUGAACCUCUGAUUGGGAGGAAUUAAUCUGGUUCAAAAUGUCAGUAGUGCUGAGAUUGAGAAACCCUGAAGUAAAUGGAAAGGAAUCCUUCUGUCGAUGAGUCAUGAAUAAAUCCUAAUCAAGAAACCAGUCUAUCAACAAGCAUCUGCUGCCCUUCUGCUCCAGGCCUGUCCUCUCCUGAACACAGAGUGUGAGGAGCUGACGUUUACUGAUACGAUGUCCAACUUGAUGCCCAGGUGUUAGACUAUUCCAAAAUGCAACCUGUUUCGACAUGUUAACUCCGUUCUUCUCAGUUCAGUGGCUAUCAGCAUGUCAGCACCUGCAGAUCAUUCCAUGAAGUUGUGGAAAGAGCUGAUUUUUAAUUCAGAUUAUGUGAAAGUUACAGGAAUUUAUCUUAGAAAAAAAAAUAGAC